rnacentral:tRNA from 1 species
GCUGUGAUGGCCGAGUGGUUGGACUUGAAAUCCAAUGGGGUUUCCCCGUGCAGGUUUAAACCCUGCUCACAGCG